AGUGAACGCUGGCGGUAGGCCUAACACAUGCAAGUCGAACGGCAGCACAGUAAGAGCUUGCUCUUACGGGUGGCGAGUGGCGGACGGGUGAGGAAUACAUCGGAAUCUACUUUUUCGUGGGGGAUAACGUAGGGAAACUUACGCUAAUACCGCAUACGACCUACGGGUGAAAGCAGGGGAUCUUCGGACCUUGCGCGAUUGAAUGAGCCGAUGUCGGAUUAGCUAGUUGGCGGGGUAAAGGCCCACCAAGGCGACGAUCCGUAGCUGGUCUGAGAGGAUGAUCAGGCCAACUGGAACUGAGACACGGUCCAGACUCCUACGGGAGGCAGCAGUGGGGAAUAUUGGACAAUGGGCGCAAGCCUGAUCCAGCCAUACCGCGUGGGUGAAGAAGGCCUUCGGGUUGUAAAGCCCUUUUGUUGGGAAAGAAAAGCAGCAGGUUAAUACCCCGCUGUUCUGACGGUACCCAAAGAAUAAGCACCGGCUAACUUCGUG
rnacentral:rRNA from 1 species